UACGUAGGGUGCGAGCGUUGUCCGGAAUUAUUGGGCCUAAAGCGUCCGUAGCUGGCUUGUUAGAUGCCUGGGUAAAUCGAUGCGCUCAACGCAUCGAAUUCCGGGCAGACCGGCAAGCUCGAGACCGGGAGAGGUGUAGGGUACUCGGGGGGUAGGGGUAAAAUCCUGUAAUCCUCCGGGGACGACCAGUGGCGAAGGCGCUACACUAGAACGGCUCUGACAGUGAGGGACGAAGCCCUGGGGCGCAAACCGG
rnacentral:rRNA from 1 species